rnacentral:rRNA from 1 species
UACGUAGGGGGUAAGCGUUGUCCGGAUUUAUUGGGCGUAAAGAGCGUGUAGGCGGCCAUUCAGGUCAGCUGUGAAAACUCGAGGCUCAACCUCGAGACGUCGGUUGAAACCGUUUGGCUAGAGUCCAGAAGAGGAGAGUGGAAUUCCCGGUGUAGCGGUGAAAUGCGCAGAUAUCGGGAAGAACACCCGUGGCGAAGGCGGCUCUCUGGGACGGUACUGGACGCUGAGACGCGAAAGCGUGGGGAGCGAACAGG